GCCGGAAGGGCAGGGGGGUGUAGAGAUGGACCCCGCCCGCCCAGUAGGCCUCCCCGCCCAGGUAGUCCCCUGCGACACCAAGAACAGCAGGGAGAGUUCUCUCACCGAGUCCCAGAACAGACGCUUGUUCAGCUGGAGCUCCACGUCCUCUUUCAGGAAGCUGGCGUCGCCCCCAGUGUAGCCAGCCAGUUCCUGUGUGCAACACAGCCAAUCAGAUGGGGAACUGCAGGAGAGGGUGGGACCAAUGACACUCGAUCACCACGGCAACAACCGACUCACCCUCGAAUCCAGCAGUGCCCUUAGACAAGGGAGGGGCCCUCCAUACUUGCGGUCGAAGUUUCCGGGCUGAGGCUUGAAGAAGGACAGGCCGUAGGACGUCUCCUUGGUGCCGUAGGAGAACUGGAAGG